AACCCGUCUCCUCUCGCACUGGGAGGCCACAGAGCGCUCGUCGCUGUAUAGGGAGGACGACCUGUGACGUGGUUGUGUUCAUUUAUACGUUAUCCCUUCAAUCAGCCGUACCCAACUUACAUCACUUACAUUCGGCGGGUUUUGCACGGCUCAUGCGGACAGUGUCCAAACCCCGAGGUGAAGCAGCCACAGCUAGCCGCCUACUACCAGGCACGCAUGAGCGCCAAGUGAGUGACGAUGCGCUUGACAGCACUGCCCCCUUGUGGCCACAAAACAAACUGCACGCUGCGGCGCAGCUCAAGAGUAUCGGGAAUCAACAGUAAUGAAUAAACGGUAACACGAUGAAUGUUACACCUGUCCGCGAUGAAUCAGCGAGCAAUCAGCGCUGAACAGGAGU